AUGACGUCAAAUCAGCAUGGUUCUUACACCUUGGGCUACACACGUGCUACAAUGGGAGGUACAGAGGGAUGCCAAACCGCGAGGUGGAGCAAAUCCCAAAAAACCUUUCUCAGUUCGGAUCGGAGUCUGCAAUUCGACUCCGUGAAGCUGGAAUCGCUAGUAAUCGUAGGUCAGCUAUACUACGGUGAAUACGUUCUCGGGUCUUGUACUCACAAAAUCUGCGCCGGGCAGGUUAAUUUACCAAGUGGUUAAAAUCCACUCCUCCUUUGUCCGUCAAAGGAGCGUAGCUAAAAGAUAGUCAACAACCGCGAGGGUGUUGGCGGAAGGAUCUGGAAGCAAACAGCAGCCUAAAUAUACAAAACGAGAAAUCGACCUAAGAUUGGGUGGUGAGCCUAGGGAAGAUUUCAAAAAACGUUUUAGGAUGUUGGGAAGGGAAAAUUAAUUAACCCCGGGAGAUCUGAUGUUGCGAUAUCACUGUUAAAGUGAUAUAAUUGAACUAACGCAGCGUCAGAAGUCAGCUGGUUCGUAGUACUUCAAUUUUGAAGGAAGGAACCUCUCUAAUACUAUGUUAAAUGUCAAUUACAUAAAAGAAAAUAAGCAUUUAACGCUUUUUGGUUUAGUCAAAUUGUAUAAACUAAAACAGAAAAUGCAUUAGAGCUCGCUCAGUGCGGGAAAUCCGCUCGCUGAGUGGGAACAUCAAUUUCUACGUUCAUAGAAAGAUAAUCGCCCGUCAAGUCAAGGGAGUCGGCAAUACCCGAAGUCCCCUUUCAGGGGCCGAAGGUAGGGUCGGCGACAAGGACUAAGUCGUAACAAGGCAUCCGUAGCGGAAGCUGUGGAUGGAUCACCUCCUUU
rnacentral:rRNA from 1 species